rnacentral:lncRNA from 1 species
GUAGCAGUCUUCUAUUGUUUGGGUCAUGGUUGAAUUGGAAACCAAUAGAAGACUUAGACAAUCAUGUGAAAUGCAUAUUCCAAACUUCAUUUUUCUUCAAAAUAUCUAACUAUGUCAGGUAAAAGUGAUUUAUUUAAACUCGUAUCUAUAUACUUACUUUGAUUUUUCCCACUUUGCUUCACAAUAACCUAAUCUUAUAAAUGGGUUCUCUGCAAUGAUGAUAAUGGCAAUGUUAGCGAAACAUUAUAUCCUGGGUAAAAUCAAGUCAUUUUCUCAUGUUUUAAGCUUAGAACUCUAUCAAAUAACAGCAGUACUCAGUAAAUAAUUGGUGAUGCUGAAAUUGGAGAUUAAUUGGAAGAAUAAUAUAAAAGAUACAUGUUUCCAAAAAAAAUAAAAAUCUUUGCUUUACUAAUAAUUGUACUUAAGCUUCCCAGAUGAAGGCUGGCUGAGUGGUAACUCUCAGCCCAUCCCAGUGUAAUUAUAGUUUCAAGCAGAAGAAGGGAUGCUUUAAAUGAGAAAAGUGUGAAGCAGUUAUUAUUGAACAAUCUAGAUUAGAACUGCUGGGAGAAAUCUUGCAUCACAAGGCUAUCUGUCUAUAAAAUUUUACGCGUGAAUAUACCAAUGCCACCCAUCAUAUCAAAAUGUCAUAACAAAAUCCAGUCAUAAAGUAGGUAGUUAACAGACCUGAAAGUCUGGGCAUUCUUGCCUGAGCUGCUCUAUGUCUUUCACCAUGGAACAGAUCACUG